rnacentral:rRNA from 1 species
GAUGAACGCUGGCGGCGUGCCUAAUACAUGCAAGUCGAGCGAACGGACGAGAAGCUUGCUUCUCUGAUGUUAGCGGCGGACGGGUGAGUAACACGUGUAUACCCUACCUAUAAGACUGGGAUAACUUCGGGAAAGCGGAGCUCACAUCGGAUAAUAUUUUGAACCGCGGGGUUCAUAAGUGAAAGACGGUCUUGCUGUCACUUAUAGAUGGUUCCGCGCUGCAUUAGCUAGUUGGUAAGGUAACGGCCUACCAAGGCAACGCUGCAUAGCCGACCUGAGAGGAUGAUCGGCCACACUGGAACUGAGACACGGUCCAGACUCCUACGGGAGGCAGCAGUAGGGAAUCUUCGGCAAUGGGCGAAAGCCUGACGGAGCAACGCCGCGUGAGUGAUGAAGGUCUUCGGAUCGUAAAACUCUGUUAUUAGGGAAGAACAUAUGUGUAAGUAACUGUGCACAUCUUGACGGUACCUAAUCAAAAAGCCACGGCUAACUACGUG